CUCAUCUGCUACUUGGUCCCCGGGUUCCACCUCUAUUUGAACUUUGAAAAUAACUAAAGAAUUAAAUGAAAACUCAGUAUGGCUCCCAAUGCCUACCAGAAGCAGCAGUAGUGAAUGGUUUCAAAAUGUCAGUCUGAUGAGAAAACACCAGAACUACCAUGGAGAAUGAUAAAUGGAAGAGUAAGCAGCAGAAAAACAACCAAGAACUACACGGCUCAUCAGCUGGGAAUUCCCCAGAGUUUGGCAAUGCUGUGUUUCCUGCCUUAGAAUUUGUGACCCCCGGUUGACCUUUGUAUCAUUUACAUAGAGGGGCUUCUCUGAAAGAAGAACCACAUGCACACUUAAUAAAAAACGGGUGGGGACUCAGAGUCACCCAUGUGCUUCUUAGUUCCUUUUUACCUGAUACAACCUAGAGACAUCUGAG
rnacentral:lncRNA from 1 species